rnacentral:rRNA from 1 species
CAGCCGCCACGGUAACACCGAGGGUGCGAGCGUUAAUCGGAUUUACUGGGCGUAAAGCGUGCGUAGGCGGCUUUUUAAGUCGGAUGUGAAAUUCCUGAGCUUAACUUAGGAAUUGCAUUCGAUACUGGGAAGCUAGAGUAUGGGAGAGGAUGGUAGAAUUCCAGGUGUAGCGGUGAAAUGCGUAGAGAUCUGGAGGAAUACCGAUGGCGAAGGCAGCCAUCUGGCCUAAUACUGACGCUGAGGUACGAAAGCAUGGGGAGCAAACAGGAUUAGAUACCCGCGUAGUCCCUGUCUCUUAUAA